rnacentral:rRNA from 1 species
AUUGAACGCUGGCGGCAGGCCUAACACAUGCAAGUCGAGCGAGCGGCGGACGGGUGAGUAAUGUCUGGGAAACUGCCUGACGGAGGGGGAGAACUACUGGAAACGGUAGCUAAUACCGCAUACCAUCAGAUGUGCCCAGAUGGGAUUAGCUAGUAGGUGGGGUAACGGCUCAACUAGGCGACGCUCCCUAGCGGGUGUGAGUGGAUGAUCAGCCACACGGGAACUGAGACACGGUCCAGACUCCUCCGGGAGGCAGCAGUGGGGAAUAGUGCACAAUGGGCGCAAGCCUGAUGCAGCCAUGCCGCGUGUGUGAAGAAGGCCUUCGGGUUGUAAAGCACUUUCAGCGGGGAGGCGUUACCCGCAGAAGAAGCACCGGCUAACUCCGUGCCAGCAGCCGCGGUAAUAC